CUAGAGAUAGAAGUUACUUCGGUACAUCGGUGACAGGUUGGUGCAUUGGUUGUCGUCAGCUCGUGUCGUGAGAUGUUGGGUUAAGUCCCGCAACGAGCGCAACCCCUAUUGUUAGUUGCCAUCAUUCAGUUGGGCACUCUAGCGAGACUGCCGGUAAUAAACCGGAGGAAGGUGGGGAUGACGUCAAAUCAUCAUGCCCCUUAUGACCUGGGCUACACACGUGCUACAAUGGUUGGUACAACGAGUUGCGAGUCGGUGACGGCGAGCUAAUCUCUUAAAGCCAAUCUCAGUUCGGAUUGUAGGCUGCAACUCGCCUACAUGAAGUCGGAGUCGCUAGUAAUCGCGGAUCAGCACGCCGCGGUGAAUACGUUCCCGGGCCUU
rnacentral:rRNA from 1 species